CCGUCCCUCUGAGGCUUAGUGCCGAGGAGGCAAAGGUGGCCAUGGUGGGCACUGUGAGCUGGGAGGAAAGGUUUUCAGCAGGGAGCUCGAGGUUGCAAACUAAUGGUGCGAGGUUGGAUCCAGACCAGAAAUGAAUUUUGGUAAGCCUACACUCUUGUAUAUCCUUCACUGUUCCAUUUUUGUUUUUUACUUUUUACUAAGCCAUAGGUACAGAAAGUUCUAUGUAUCAUAAGUGUACAGCUCAGUAAAUUUUCACAGAGUACACCUGUGUAUAGCAUUUAGCUAAACUUAAAAAACCCAGAGUAUUGCCAGCACCCGAGAAGCCCCUUCUCUUUUCUAUCUAGUGCUAACAGUUUUUGUUAACUCUUUCGAUACCUUUUUUUACACUGAAUUUUAGGAGGCUUAUCAGGAUUCGUACGUUAAAAUAGAAAAGUAGAUACUGCAUUUUUUAAAAUAUCAACAUCAGGAAAAAUGUAUUUAGGAGUAUAAGGUAAGCCCCAGGGCAAAUACAUACCUAAUAUUUAGACAUGUAACAACCAUAUGGGCCUACUGAGUUAAGGUUGAACUAUAAAUUUGUUUCUCAUUUUCCUGACAGCAUAACAAAAAGCCAAAUUAUCUUACAUAAUUUCCAUUGAGCAUUAAUAAAGGAACCAUACUCAUGAAAGGAGACAUUUUCUGUCUCUGAGGUCUGAAGAUAUUUCUCUGAUGGCCUUCCUUUCGGUAAUAAAGUAGACAGUCUACCCUAACUCUGAAAUAUGUGCAAUGCAGGCUUCUCCAGUGUACCUCAGUGGAAGCAGAGGACAUACAAAGGCAGGACGUGUUAAACAUCUUUUUCAGGGAACCAACUGCACAGCUGUCUGAUGGUCUUGUCUGGUAAAAUGUAAAAUAUUAGAAUAGACUAAUAAAUUGUGUAUCCUUUAAA